rnacentral:rRNA from 1 species
AAUGGCUCAUUAAAUCAGUUAUCGUUUAUUUGAUAGUACCUUACUACUUGGAUAACCGUGGUAAUUCUAGAGCUAAUACAUGCUAAAAACCCCAACUUCGGGAGGGGUGUAUUUAUUAGAUAAAAAACCAAUGCCCUUCGGGGCUCCUUGGUGAUUCAUGAUAACUUCUCAGAUCGCAUGGCUUUACGCCGGCGACGGUUCAUUCAAAUUUCUGCCCUAUCAACUUUCGAUGGUAAGGUAGUGGCUUACCAUGGUUUCAACGGGUAACGGGGAAUUAGGGUUCGAUUCCGGAGAGGGAGCCUGAGAAACGGCUACCACAUCCAAGGAAGGCAGCAGGCGCGCAAAUUACCCAAUUCCGAUACGGAGAGGUAGUGACAAUAAAUACUGAUACAGGGCUCUUUUGGGUCUUGUAAUUGGAAUGAGUACAAUUUAAACCUCUUAACGAGGAACAAUUGGAGGGCAAGUCUGGUGCCAGCAGCCGCGGUAAUUCCAGCUCCAAUAGCGUAUAUUAAAGUUGUUGCAGUUAAAAAGCUCGUAGUUGAACCUUUGGCCUGGCUGGCAGGUCCGCCUCACCGCGUGCACUUGUCCGGCCGGGCCUUUUCUUCUGGAGAACCGCAUGCCCUUCACUGGGUGUGUUGGGGACCAGGACUUUUACUUUGAAAAAAUUAGAGUGUUCAAAGCAGGCCUUUGCUCGAAUACGUUAGCAUGGAAUAAUAGAAUAGGACGUGCGGUCCUAUUUUGUUGGUUUCUAGGACCGCCGUAAUGAUUAAUAGGGACAGUCGGGGGCAUCAGUAUUCAAUUGUCAGAGGUGAAAUUCUUGGAUUUAUUGAAGACUAACUACUGCGAAAGCAUUUGCCAAGGAUGUUUUCAUUAAUCAGUGAACGAAAGUUAGGGGAUCGAAGACGAUCAGAUACCGUCGUAGU